rnacentral:rRNA from 1 species
CCUACGGGGGGCAGCAGUGAGGAAUAUUGGUCAAUGGGCGUGAGCCUGAACCAGCCAAGUAGCGUGAAGGAUGACUGCCCUAUGGGUUGUAAACUUCUUUUAUAAAGGAAUAAAGUGAGGCACGUGUGCCUUUCUGUAUGUACUUUAUGAAUAAGGAUCGGCUAACUCCGUGCCAGCAGCCGCGGUAAUACGGAGGAUCCGAGCGUUAUCCGGAUUUAUUGGGUUUAAAGGGGGCGUAGAUGGAUUGUUAAGUUAGUUGUGAAAGUUUGCGGCUCAACCGUAGAACUGCAUUUGAUACUGGCGGUCUUGAGUACAGGUGAGGUAGGCGGAAUGCGUGGUGUAGCGGUGAAAUGCUUAGAUAUCACGAAGAACUCCGAUUGCGAAGGCAGCUUACUAAACUGCAACUGACAUUGAUGCUCGAAAGUGUGGGUAUCAAACAGGAUUAGAUACCCUGGUAGUC